GGCAUUGCCCGCGGAUGAUAGAGGCAUUCAGAGCUAUUCAUAGGUUCCCAUAAGAGAGAACGCACGAUUAACGAAGGUUGGCAGAUCUUGGGGUAUUCGCUUCUGAAAAUUGCAAGGCAGAGAAGAUGCGUGGCCUGCAUGCAAACAGAACACGUCUUAUCUAUGUUUCCACAUUUUCUAUUAUAGUUAUCACAUCACCAGUUUCAGUGGGCCAGCGGUGCCUCCGAUACAGAGUAAGAAACUGAGAAUGCGGAGAAACUGAGAAUGCGGUUUGAAGCGAUAAUUGUUUCAGUCUGCAACUUCUGCCACUUUGUACGGAGACUCUGAUGCCCUCAGCACCAUGGAAUUUGCUGGCAGACGUCAAAUCUAAAGCACUCAAAAAUGGGGGCAUUACUACUGAUGAAAUUAGUGCCAAGGGUUUACCAACGACCAUUUAUGGACUGGCUAUGUGCAGGCCAACACUUGGCACAAAUAGCUAUGACGUUUGUCUCUAGCACACUCCAAAGCUCGUAGAGCGGUGCUUUUCACUUCAGGAUGGAAGGGGCCUCGAUGCUGGUUGUUUUUUGCGUUAUUCCACAUAUGCUUUUUUCUCUACUCCCUCUUCUUCCUUUAUUAUUUUCAGACUGAUUUGCAGUCCGCACACUUUACUUAAUUUAAGUUAAUAGCACAUCAAUCUUCAAAGUAGUUCGCUGUGGAGGGCGGCGGGCUCCAGAACUAAAUGCGAGGCACUAGUGUUUGGAUCAGGGUUAGAAAUGUGGAAGAAUUAUAUUGCUAGGUUCUUGCCGCUGCUGGACAAUGUUUGAUGGAGGACAUAAACUAGCAUGGAUAUCUACAGGGAAAAAUAAAGAAGAAAAUGACAAAUUUGCUGGCACCUUAUUCAGAUAUCUCCCAGCAGAAUGAGUUUUUGUUUCUUACUGAUUCAAUCAUUUCAUCAUCGAUUGAUUCUGAACCCAAUUGUAGUAGCAGUUUGGAUUGUAUUAACGGUCUUGAUUUUCUGAUCUGAAAAAAAUGAUUUCUUAGUACUUAGGCUCGAACUCACAACAAGAGCAGCAAGAAGAUAAGUAUGAUGGAUUUCAGAACUGUCAAUUGACAGUUUUAUUAGAUUCUGAACCAGACUCUUUUGGAUGAACUUCUGGAGCCGUCAAUUUUAUUAGAUCCUGAAUCAGACUCUCUUUUGGAUGAGUUUGUGGAGCCUUAUACCAGAUUUCUAUGAUACAUAUUCGCUUACUUGGAAUUGUUUUAUGUAUUGUGAACACCUGUUUUGAUUUUGGGACAUUUAUUCCAUGCCCCAUUUUAAGAAUUAACUGUAUGCAAUGAUGUGAGCAUUAUCUUGAACAUCAUAUGAAAUUCUCUUUUUUUCUUCAUCCACGGUAUAUUUCACAUAAUUCUUUUGGUUCAUAUCAUCUUUUUAUUUUUCCUGAAUCUGACAAAUCUUUAUUCAUCUUUUAUUUGGUAUUCUUAGAACAGCCAGCCAAAAAACAUGUAAGCUUUCUUGGCAUAUUUAUCUUUUUUUAAUAUGCCAUACAUCAUAACCAGAAGUUAAUUCUAUAUCAAUGUCUCCAUCACUUUGUUUCAGGGUUGGACAUACUAUGGAGCUAAUUGUUGUCUUGGGGCAUUUUGGGGGUUAUGGAAACUAUAUCGGUGGCAUCUUUCCACCAAACUAAAUCUGUUCUUUCAAGCAUUGGGAGGAACUACGCUGCUUGCAGCCCUUGUUCUUUUAGGAGUGUGUAUAGUAGCUCCAUUUAUAUCUCCUACGUAUUCAAAUUAUUAUACCCAAACUAAAAGAACUGUAUUUCCAUAUUAUUAAAGACAUUUUGAAUGGUUCUUAAUUUUUGAAUUUCUUGUUUACGCCAGUUGAAUUGAGAGUGUAAUAAGGUCAUUAGGUUUGACUUGACUGCACCCAGAAGCUUAUUGAAACAAAUCACUUUGUUGGAGUGCAGGGUUAAUUCAUGAUGCCAUACAAAGUGCAACAAAUGAGGAGCAUUUUCAAAGCUUAAUUGACUUCGUGGAGAUAACAAAGCCAAGACCUGUCUUAGCCACGAUUUAAUGUGGAGGAGAUGACAUGGAAUCAUCCAGACCUGAGACAGAGGCGAUUGAGCCCGCGAUGGCUGCUAAUGCCUAUGGAUUUAUAUCAACACCCAGUACAAAUGGUGCAGGAGCACCUGAGCACCUGAAUGCUCAAAUCCUAGCAGGUAUAACAUUUUAUUGCAAAUUAAGCAUGUGUGUUUAUUUUAUGCUUCUAGUAGGUUUAAUAGGUUUGUUUUGUGGUUUAAUAAGGCUUGGAACUCAUUUGUGUUUAAGAGUUUCCAAGAUUUUUGUUUUUUUGCUCGGCAGGCUAAAAAUUGUCAAUUUUGGGUCCAAAUGAGCAUUUUUGAAUUUUUGAUGUUGGAAAGCCUUGAAAGGCAUUGGAGCAUGUUUAUUUAGUGUUUCUAGAUGAUUUUGAGUCAUUGGUUUGAGUGCCAAGUCACCGGAAGUCAAAAUGCAAUUUUUGAGCAACAAAAGUUGUCAAAAAGUGGUUCUUGGUGGUUUUGGUUAGUUCCAGCCUGUACCUGUCCAUACAAGGGCUUCAACAAGUUGGCACAUGUAUAUAAACCAUGUUCCAAUCAUUGUAUGGGUUGUUCAUUUUGGAAAAUUAAGAGAAAUACUUAUUUUGCUCUCA